GCAUAUCAAUAAGCGGAGGAAAAGAAACCAACCGGGAUUGCCUCAGUAACGGCGAGUGAAGCGGCAAGAGCUCAAAUUUGAAAGCUGGCUCCUUCGGAGUCCGCAUUGUAAUUUGCAGAGGAUGCUUUGGGUGCGGCCCCCGUCUAAGUGCCCUGGAACGGGCCGUCAGAGAGGGUGAGAAUCCCGUCUUGGGCGGGGUGUCCGUGCCCGUGUAAAGCUCCUUCGACGAGUCGAGUUGUUUGGGAAUGCAGCUCUAAAUGGGUGGUAAAUUUCAUCUAAAGCUAAAUACUGGCCGGAGACCGAUAGCGCACAAGUAGAGUGAUCGAAAGAUGAAAAGCACUUUGAAAAGAGAGUUAAACAGCACGUGAAAUUGUUGAAAGGGAAGCGCUUGCGACCAGACUCGCCCGCGGGGUUCAGCCGGCAUUCGUGCCGGUGUACUUCCCCGUGGGCGGGCCAGCGUCGGUUUGGGCGGCCGGUCAAAGGCCCCUGGAAUGUAGUGCCCUCCGGGGCACCUUAUAGCCAGGGGUGCAAUGCGGCCAGCCUGGACCGAGGAACGCGCUUCGGCACGGACGCUGGCAUAAUGGUCGUAAACGACCCGUCUUGAAACACGGACCAAGGAGUCUAACAUCUACGCGAGUGUUCGGGUGUCAAACCCGUGCGCGCAGUGAAAGCGAACGGAGGUGGGAGCCCCCUUGCGGGGCGCACCAUCGACCGAUCCUGAUGUCUUCGGAUGGAUUUGAGUAAGAGCGUAGCUGUGGGGACCCGAAAGAUGGUGAACUAUGCCUGAAUAGGGCGAAGCCAGAGGAAACUCUGGUGGAGGCUCGCAGCGGUUCUGACGUGCAAAUCGAUCGUCAAAUUUGGGUAUAGGGGGCGAAAGACUAAUCGAACCAUCUAGUAGCUGGGUUCUGCGA
rnacentral:rRNA from 1 species